ensembl:lncRNA
GUUGUGGGGUGCACGCGCUUUGCGCUCUACAGGUGUUUGGCAUCAAUCAAAUACGCGCGUUGCACCUGCGGAGGUUAAGUUUCCACGUCUGUCUGCCUCUGCUAAUUGCUGGACGGCGUUGAGUGAUUUCAGCUCAGUGGAACAACGGUAGUCAAUUAAACGGACAAGAAACUACGCCAAGACAUUUAUUGAAGCGUGACGGCUCCUCUCUGUAUGAAGCUGGAUCUGACACUGGAAUUUCCAAACAAACAACCUGACUCCUAAAAGCUGUUUCAAAACAAACAAACAAACAAACAAACAAACAAAUAAAAAUCCAAGUUCACCCUU